UGGCACGUCUUUGUCUGCCGACUGGCACGCUUUUGUUUUUUUUUCCUUUCAGUUUUGUUUUUCUUUAUGCUUCUUUGCUCUUCGUAUUUGUUAUUCUGUUUCGUGAAAAGUAACUUAUCUUUGUUGCGGGAAAGUGAUGGAAUGGGGAUUAGUGGAUCUGAGUUUAGAGGAUGGAGAAGAAGAAGCUUUUUCUAUUCUGGAUUAUGUUGAAUCACAGAGCUCAGUGUAUAGUUUUUGCUUGGUGGGAUUUGGAAACACGGAAAUUUACACUUUUUUACAUACCCUUUUUAACUUAAAAUCAUACAGAUUCGAUAAAAUUCU
rnacentral:lncRNA from 1 species